GCUGAGCUGCUCAGUACAGGAUUUGGAAUACCCUGAGUUGGAAGGGACCAUGAGGAUUGCUGGUCCAGCUCCUGGAACAGAGGAAUUGAAUUUGCAUCCCCUGCCUGAGGCACUGUGUAUGUUCUACCAAAGCACUUGCAGUGUGUUCUGCACCUCUGGUACAAAGGCCAUGUUGCUGGAUGGGCAUUUAAGGUUGUGCUAUGCUAAUGCUGAGAGAAUUGCUUGCAGGGAUAGUGACAUAGCAGUAAAGCAUUCAGACAGCACAAAUUGUCCUUUAUUUUUUUUGUGCAGUUCUGUCAGGAGGAGUUAGUUGUUUCGUUAUUUGUUUUCAUUUCAACAUAAGUUGCCCUACAUAACAAUAAGCCUCACUGAGUGGAGUCUCUUUGUCGAGUUGCACUAAAAAGUGUGUAAAGCUAAGGUACAACUGUCCUUUCUCUUGCACAUAGCUUCUCAGUUAUAAAACGGACAUUCACACGUGUGUUGUGGCCAUUUCAAACUGUACAGACUCAAAUGCAGCCCUGUAUGGGAUGGGAUCACAGAAGCAGGCUGUGAUGUUGUUGAUACCUACGGACUCAUACUGCUGAAAACUACAGAAUUGCACCCUGUCACCCAGAUUGCACUGUGAGUGCUGACCACCAGUGCUGGUUGUGGAAAUUUAGCAAAACAGCUUGAUCUCUAAAGCAGCAGGUGAGAAGGACUCCUGUUAUCAGAACAGAAGAAUUUAGGACUUUGACAAGCACCAACACACCCCUUGCAAGGAUGGAUGACAGGGCAACAUAUUCUCACUGGGAGGUAAAGCUAUAAAACUACUGUUAGGACUCUGCUCUUUGAUCACAGGAAAUUAAACACUUGGGCUAUCUGGCAAGAGUUGUGCACACCUUCAAAGAAAACACAGUGAGAGGUCCUAUUGCUCAAUCGUGGCUGUUACUGAUUCCCUACCUGUGGCCAGUCUAUAGGGGUUGUGUGCACUUGAAGGGUGUGUGUGGUACUGUGCACUUCCACCUUGUUUCUGCUGUAAAAAACUGUUGCCCAGCAAAUAUAGAGCAGCCUGAGGCGGAAGGGGAUAUUGGGAUCUUUGAGUCUAAAAUGGACGAGAGACAGCAUCCUGAGAAGCAAUGACUAUAUUGUGCUGUCCAGCCUCACAGAAACAUGUUUCAGAGCCUCAUGUCAUAAAGUCAGAAGGAAUUUCUGUUAAAAAAACAACACUUCAUUGUGCUUUCUAUUGAGUAUUCAACAUCCUCCCUUCAGAAGCAGUGUGUUAUCACCUUGCUGCUCGUUCAGCUGAUACUGUUACUUUCAUUCCCAGAACUGAUACAGAACAUUUGCAGCAUAGCAAAGUGAGCCCAAAACAGAUUUCUAUUUUAUGUUCGAAGUCUUGAACCCAGAUGCCUGAGCAUCAGUAGGUGGGGAAAAAAAGCUCAAAACCAUGGAGUGGGGUGUGUGCUUUUGUGUCACUGGGUCUUCUCUCCUCCUGUGAAACACUGUGUACAGUUUUUCCCUAACCUCUUGUUUUCUUUUUUUUUUUUUUUUUCCCCUACCCAGGAGCACCUGGCAGCUGAUGCACAGCAAUCACAUUCAGGAAAUCAGAGCAGAUAAGAUGGGUCUGCACAGGGUUACCUCCCACAACAGCUCUGCAGGCAGUGGGGCCUGUCAUACCCAGCCCAGCAGCUUUGCAGGGUGCGGCAUCUCCUCUGAGCUGUUCCAGAAGCGCUGCUCCUGCAGGGUGUGCUCUGCUCCCAGGAAGAAGCAACUCACAGUGCAAAUGCAGUGAUAGGCAGAGUGGAGCUUCUGCGUGGUAAAAGUGCCCCUCCUCAGUGGGCUCUUAGUUUCAUCAAGGAAAGUCCCUUGCUGAAAUGCUGAAUAUUCAGGUGUCUUCAGGGACCUUGGGAUCACCUCGCCAUCAGAGAUGCAUCUCUGAAGCAGUUCUGAGCAAGCUCAGUUUGACAACAAAUGACAGCUGUGAGGCAGUUUAGGGAAGAGGAGGGAGAUGGAGGAAGCUUUCCUUCAGCCUGCAUCUAUUCUGACCUCUUCUAAAGCCAAAUAUACCCUAAAAGGCAGGUAGUAAAUUUGACCUUCCCCUGUUCUGCUGUAAACUAAUACAUGAUUGUCAUUAUGCAGCUGGUGCAACUUGAAGUUACCAAAAGAACUCCUUACAAACAGUUCCUAUCCCAAUACAAACAGAACUCGUUACUUUAAGAGAAGCUGGGAAUCUGAAGUGGGAGCUGUCAAGCCCAAGGAUGGAGCUGACUGGGAUGUGUGCCCCUGCUACUCUCACACCAGUUCUGGUCUCAUAGAUCAUGGUAGAUACCUCUGCUGGUGUGGCACAGGCAGUAUUGUGCUGUUAGUGCUGGCGCGUUUGACUCUACUUUACACUGGGGACAAUGCCCUCCUUUGGCUAGGAAUGAAAGUGUAAUUGGGCUUUUAUGUUCUUUUAAAUACCUGGUGUAUGUCUAAUCACCUGGUUAGGAUGAAUGUAAUGGCACCCCCUCAUGGAUUUCAAGCAGAGAUAGACAAAAAAAGAGUGUGUAGUACUGUGCUGCCUGUGGGAGUUGUUGUGCAGAGACUAAGUACAGCUGCCCAACAGAACUGCCACUAAUGCUGAUAGAAUUGCCUCGUGCAGCUGGAUUGAAAACUGUAAAUCUCUGGGGUAAAGCUGCAAAUGCUUUUGUAUUGAUGGUCUGUGGAAACUCAUAACAUAAAAGAGCAGAGCAUUUGUCAACCUCAGAUGAGGUACCGUUAUGUACCGCAUGGUUGCUUUUGGAUUACUAUAGAAAAAAGGCAUGUCUUUAACACGGGCAUGAUGUUGUUAACAGUGGCACAAUGGUACUGGCUUGGUUUUGGAGCUGCAGCACCCGUGUACUGCUGGCAUGUGGAAAAAGUCCCAGCUGCCUGAUCAUUUGAAUACUCCUUAGCUACAAAGUUUGAAAACUUGCCUGUAACAGAGAUUGAACUCAGAAUAAUUUUACCCAUUCUUCACCUCCUCUGUCCUCUCCAGAUCUGAAAGGCUCGCUUACAAGCUAACAAAAGAAAUACUGGCCUAGAAAUGCAAGGGUUUUCCUUACUUGCCUCACUAAUGCAUUAUCUGUCUGUAACCAUGCUGUAGCCAGAAGUUACUUCCCAUUUGUACACUUACUCCUGUGUCUGAAAACUUCCCCAGGCAGGAGAUUAUGCUCUGCUGUGGUUUAAUGCCCUGGUAUGGCUGCUUUAUGCAGACCUACUUUGCUGUGGUUUCCACUGAGACACUGAAGAAAACAAACUGCCCCCUCUUGCUGAUGUUGCACAAUGUUUGAGGACUUGAGGUCACUGAGAACAUGAGUGUAACAAACCAGGGGAUAGCUGCAGUGAUUUGUUUUUUCUUCACUUGCCAGAAAAAGGUGCCUGGAGCGCAAGAGGCCUAAGGCCUUCCUGGAGAAUGCUCUAAAGAAUAGAAGCGCUGUAACUGAGUGAUAUUUCAACCAUCUGCUCCUUCCACACUGACACACGGGCAGGCCAGUUCCAUUGGGAAGCUGCCCUGCAGUCCUCAGGAUUUUCCUAUCCCUGCUCAAGGGAGGAACAAAU